CCUACGGGAGGCAGCAGUAGGGAAUCUUCCACAAUGGACGCAAGUCUGAUGGAGCAACGCCGCGUGAGUGAUGAAGGUCUUCGGAUCGUAAAACUCUGUUAAUAGGGAAGAACAAAUGUGUAAGUAACUAUGCACGUCUUGACGGUACCUAAUCAGAAAGCCACGGCUAACUACGUGCCAGCAGCCGCGGUAAU
rnacentral:rRNA from 1 species